rnacentral:rRNA from 1 species
CUCUCAGGACGAACGCUGGCGGCGUGCCUUAUACUUGCAAGUCGAGCGGACAGAUGGGAGCUUGCUCCCUGAUGUUAGCGGCGGACGGGUGAGUAACACGUGGGUAACCUGCCUGUAAGACUGGGAUAACUCCGGGAAACCGGGGCUAAUUCCGGAUGCUUGAUUGAACCGCAUGGUUCAAUUAUAAAAGGUGGCUUUUAGCUACCACUUACAGAUGGACCCGCGGCGCAUUAGCUAGUUGGUGAGGUAACGGCUCACCAAGGCGACGAUGCGUAGCCGACCUGAGAGGGUGAUCGGCCACACUGGGACUGAGACACGGCCCAGACUCCUACGGGAGGCAGCAGUAGGGAAUCUUCCGCAAUGGACGAAAGUCUGACGGAGCAACGCCGCGUGAGUGAUGAAGGUUUUCGGAUCGUAAAACUCUGUUGUUAGGGAAGAACAAGUACCGUUCGAAUAGGGCGGUACCUUGACGGUACCUAACCAGAAAGCCACGGCUAACUACGUGCCAGCAGCCGCGGUAAUACGUAGGUGGCAAGCGUUGUCCGGAAUUAUUGGGCGUAAAGCGCGCGCAGGCGGUUUCUUAAGUCUGAUGUGAAAGCCCCCGGCUCAACCGGGGAGGGUCAUUGGAAACUGGGGAACUUGAGUGCAGAAGAGGAGAGUGGAAUUCCACGUGUAGCGGUGAAAUGCGUAGAGAUGUGGAGGAACACCAGUGGCGAAGGCGACUCUCUGGUCUGUAACUGACGCUGAGGCGCGAAAGCGUGGGGAGCGAACAGGAUUAGAUACCCUGGUAGUCCACGCCGUAAACGAUGAGUGCUAAGUGUUAGAGGGUUUCCGCCCUUUAUUGCUGCAGCAAACGCAUUAAUCACUCCUCCUGGGGAGUACGGUCUCAAUACUGAAUA